AGGGCAGGCUCCAAGUAGAAGAACCAUGUUUGGAUGCCUUAUGCAGCUUAGAACUUCAACCUGCAUCAGAGCAAAUGAAAAGGGGCAUGAGAGAAUAUAACCUUUUCGGGAACUACUGUAUGACUAAUUGGAUUUGCUUGAUACUCCUGUAGUUGAUGUUGAAAUGCAUACCAUGUUGCUGGGCGAAGACCAUGAUCCAUUGCCACUAUCAAAAGAAUUUGAUGAGAAGCCAUUAGCUUCAGAUAACCUGGUUGCUGAGAAUGAUGAUCCAAAGCUUAGUCUGCUCUCUGUUUCUGAGCUGUUUGAAAGUCGUGGAGCAGAAUAUUUAGCAUCUGUGUCUGAGCUGUUUGAAAGCCGAGGGGGAAGACCCAAAUCGUGACUGCUAUCCAUAGAGAUUGGAAAUGUAGAGCUUGGACGACCAGAGCUCACAAAUGAUAAAUCAGAUUCUGCCACUGAGAGGUCUCCAUAUGAUCUGUUUAUCCCUUUACCUCUGGUGAAUGGGGACCUGUUGAAAGAGAUAAAUAUAAAAUAAGUCGUUUUAUGUUAAUCAACCAUUUGGAGUAGUACAUUUUGCACUUCCUCUUAUAUAUUGCAUAAAGUACUGUCUGCUUCCUGCUUCUCUGAAUUACUUACUUGAUGCUAUCUAAAUCGUCAGCUGAGCUUCGUGAUGCGUAUGGUGACCUAACAUCAGUCACGCUUCCUGUUGAAAUAAGACAGGUUAAACCAGUUCUAACAUUGUUCUAGUGCUUUAUGACAGAAAUUAACGCAAUAUGCUGCAGGUGGAAAAAACAGACCUUUUGUGUCGCUGCUGAUUUGUGCAUAACGUGUAUCAGCGAAGCCAAGCUUAGCACCUAGAGAGGAGGUGGAAUGAUUCUGCUGCGAGGGAGUUGGUGAACUGGGAACUGGAGAAGAUGCAUUCUUUGUCGAUUGAACUUUGCCUUUGGCAAUCACAAAAACUGUGCAAAAGCCAGCGCCCACCACCAGAUUCUCUAUGACAUUUGCUGUAACAUAGUCACUUAUGGAGGUCGCUAUGUCUAUGCCUUCAAUUACAACUUCAUUGACUUGAAUCUACGACAUAGAGAUAUAAGAUGAUUCAGAAAAUGAAACGACAUCUGCAAGAACACGAGGAAGAUUGAACGUGUAAGCAGCAACGCGCACUUACAUUCUUACGGGUGCAGAAGCAUCGAAAAGGUAAGAACAACUCCUUUGCUUGACUAUCAGGAUCACUUCUAUAUACUCUGGGAGUUCCAUCACUCACAUCUGAGAAAGAAACGUUGUUCGAAUAAUAGGUUUAAAGCCAGAGGUGGAUAUAGGCUUUGAAUAAUAGGUUCAACUGAAAUUAAUAUUUUCUACAUGAA